rnacentral:rRNA from 1 species
CCUACGGGGGGCAGCAGUGGGGAAUAUUGGACAAUGGGGGGAACCCUGAUCCAGCCAUGCCGCGUGUGUGAAGAAGGCCCUCGGGUUGUAAAGCACUUUCAGUGAGGAAGAACGCCUGGUGGUUAAUACCCAUCAGGAAAGACAUCACUCACAGAAGAAGCACCGGCUAACUCCGUGCCAGCAGCCGCGGUAAUACGGAGGGUGCGAGCGUUAAUCGGAAUUACUGGGCGUAAAGCGCGCGUAGGUGGCUUGAUAAGCCGGUUGUGAAAGCCCCGGGCUCAACCUGGGAACGGCAUCCGGAACUGUCAAGCUAGAGUGCAGGAGAGGAAGGUAGAAGUCCAGGUGUAGCGGUGAAAUGCGUAGAGUUCGGGAGGAAAACCAGUGGCGAAGGCGGCCUUCUGGACUGACACUGAAACUGAGGUGCGAAAGCGUGGGUAGCAAACAGGAUCAGAUACCCGUGUAGUC